AGGGAUAUGUUGUUACACCAGAUUAUAAUUCAUUUUAUAUAUAUAUAUAUAUAUAUAUAUAUAUAUUUGUUUUUAUUAUUAAUUGUUUUGGGGCAUUUUAUUUUGAAAAUGUUGCGUGCUUUUAUUGAAUAUAGUAUGUACGUCGGCUGAUGUCAUACGUAGGUAAGGCGUUCAAAACGCAGCGCAAUCGGAAGUUCGUCCUCUUUGCUUCAAUGCCAUCAGAGAGGAGAGGCAUAAUUAAGAGCUGUUGCAGAUAACAGUGCCUGUCUGUUUGCUUGUUUUACUACACAGGUAUGUCAAAUAGUAUUCAAGAAACACUAUAAUGCUGUUUUGAAUUAUUGGUAUAUAAGAAGGACAUGUUUGUGAAUGUAUUAUUAUAUGACUCAGUUUAUUAUUUUUAUUACUCAUACUAUUAUUAUAUAUAUUCUAUAUAUUAUGUGUGUUGUAAAGUGUGUGUAUGUUUCUCUUUGCUUCAAUGCCAUCAGAGAGGAGAGGCAUAAUUAAGAGCUGUUGCAGAUAACAGUGCCUGUCUGUUUGCUUGUUUUACUACACAGGCACUACAAUUAAAUCCUCAUCAGUUAAAAACCA